AGUCAAUGAUACUGAUGCUGUAAUGAGUUUUGUUGAGAAGAGUAAGGUCGAGAGAAGCAAGGCCAAGGAAGAGCUUUCUAUUUGUAAAGAUGUUGUGACUAAUACGAAUGAUGAUGACAAAUAACAUAGUGGUUCUUCAGAUAGAAGAAGAAAGCAGGUAAACGAAAAGGACAACUAAUAGAUUUAGUGAUUUGUAUUAGUGGCUAAUUAAGCUUGUAGUUUACAUUAAACCAUUUAUAAAGCUUGUCUUUGACAGAAUUUAGAUAUGUUGUGUUGUGUACUUUAAUUAGAACUUCUGUUUAUGUUCGUUGUUUUGUAAUGGCUUAAUCAUUUAUAAAAGCCUAUAAAAAUCGUCAUUUGUUUCAAGUUUUAGUUUCUGCAGCUGUUAGUGU
rnacentral:lncRNA from 1 species